CAGGUCAUUUCAUGAAGUAAUGAUGAUGUCAUGGCAAGUAAUUAAGAAACAUACUGCAUUACUUUUAAGAAAAGUAAUGAGUAACAUGUAAUAAGAGACAGCUUCUUCCACCAGGCCAUCAGACUGCUGAACACGUCAUAGACACCUCAGCUUCACUACUGGAACUUUAACAUUAUGCACUCCAUACUGUACAGUAAUGCCACUGUUUUGCACAUGUCUCAACUCUGUAUAUUUUUAUAUAUUUUAUUUAUUGUUUACUCUAUUUAAUUUGUAAAAUAUGUGUAAACACACACACACACACGCGUAGAAAGUUGAAAAUAGCUUUCUAGUAAAAAAUAGUAUCAGAAUUAAACUGGGGAAAACAGCCCAGUUGUUGUUGUGUUUUGUUGUGAUUCUAUCUUUGUACCUGUCAUUUAAAAUGCUAUCCUACAUCCAGCCGCUAGAGGGCGCAUUACGCGCAGUGGUAUCGAGUAGCGUUUUGGGGCACAGAGGAAGAAUAAACCUUCCUGUUGUGAAACUGACAUCAGCUCAACGUGUGUCCCUUUUUCUAUUCUUUAUCACAGGAGCAUUUCACACUUCAGCUGAGAUGCAGAGCAAGACCCCAGAGAGAAGCCCAAGCCAGCAUCUCUAAGCAAAAAGAGGAAGGCAACGACAGGCAUGAGCGGCAUGAUGAUGGCAUUUGUGGGGAUGCAGAAGAAGCGAUACAGUGAGUUUAUGCAACUAGAGCAGCUAGACCAGCAGCAAGAGAAAUAAACCCUGAGCACAUGGAGGAAGGCACAGAACAAGAUAAAGGAAUACGCCCCCCACCCCCAAGAAACAAGAAAGUUCAUGCGUUCAAAUAAUAAACAGACUGUGAAGUCAUGAUGCCUUUGCCACACACACAUAUUCACAAGCUACCCUUUUGCUCUGUUCACCCUCUCCCGGAACUUCAUAAUGAUUAUGUCCACAAUUCCCAUGAGGAAGCACUAUGUGUUUGAGGUUUUUAUGCCUUUUGCACCAAUUACAUGCCAAACAAGAGCGCAACUCCCCCCAAAGGAUCAAAUUGGAUCAUGGACACUAGCAGUGAAGGUCAAAUGUCUGGCAAACCUAGGUACUCAUGGCCUAGUAUACUGCUGGGAAACUUUAAAGAUGGUCCAUAAAAAGCUGUGGUGCAUGGGGAUCUGCCAGACCCGGGAGCCGUCGCCAGUCCCCUUCGAGGCCUUCCCCAAACCGCAGCUCAAUUCAUGUCCAAGCGUUCACCUUUACCUACUAAAGCACUGUCAAACCUAAAAUGAGGACGUGGGCCCAGCUAGUGAAAUGUCAAAAACAAAAAAAACCCUGUUUGACAUGUUACAUGGUAUGAGCCGUUAGAAGAUGGAUACGGUCAUGUGGUCAUAAAGCGAUGGAUGAAGAACAGCCAUAGAGAAACUGCUUCUAAAGAUAUCAGACUUG
ensembl:lncRNA